AGCGAACGCUGGCGGCAGGCUUAACACAUGCAAGUCGAACGCCAUCUUCGGAUGGAGUGGCAGACGGGUGAGUAACGCGUGGGAACGUACCCUUUGGUUCGGAAUAUUCUCGGGAAACUGGGAGCAAUACCGGAUAAGCCCUACGGGGGAAAGAUUUAUCGCCAAAGGAGCGGCCCGCGUCAGAUUAGGUAGUUGGUGGGGUAAAGGCCUACCAAGCCUACGAUCUGUAGCUGGUCUGAGAGGAUGAUCAGCCACACUGGGACUGAGACACGGCCCAGACUCCUACGGGAGGCAGCAGUGGGGAAUCUUGGACAAUGGGCGCAAGCCUGAUCCAGCCAUGCCGCGUGGAUGAUGAAGGCCUUAGGGUUGUAAAGCUCUUUUACCCGAGAUGAUAAUGACAGUAUCGGGAGAAUAAGCUCCGGCUAACUCCGUG
rnacentral:rRNA from 1 species